GUUCACUAUUCACUAUUCACUUUUCACUAUUCAAAAUUCAUGAAUAGUGAAUUGUGUUUUUGUGCACUAUUCACUAUUCAAGUUUAUUAUUGAAUAACUUUAAUAUCUUCUUGUAUGUCCUGGAUAUAUAAAAAGAAGAUGUUGUAUGAUUGCCAAUGAGACAAAACUUCACAAGAGACUAAAUUACACAGCAAUUAACAGCUACAGGUCAUUGUACAGCCUUCAACUAUAAGAAAAGCUCAUACACCAUAGUUAGUCACCGAAUAAGAACGGCCUUAUUAAUGUACAAAAAAUUCACGAAAAACAAUAAAGUAUUUAACACAGCAAAAAACGACAACCACUUGAUUACACACUCCUUACUUGGGACAGGUACAUACAUGUAUACAGAAUGUGGCGGGGG
rnacentral:lncRNA from 1 species